GAAAUUAUGAAAAACUGGGAUCUCAUACACAUCUUCCAUAUUGGCAUGUGUGGCUACAUGUGGAUGGGCACAGCUCCACACACAUGCAGGCUUAACAAACAUCUGUUUCAGGUUUACUUAAUAUGUAAGGAACUCUUCAAGGAGCCAGUACGUCUGGAUUUGUUUGCAGCCAAUCCAUGCUUUGAAACCCAUUCAACUAAGAAUAGACAUUGACAGGCAGGUUAAAAGCUUCGUUCUGUAAGGCUUUUCACACAUCUUCCAUCUAUGGUAGAGCUUAUGAAAGUAAAGUUUGUAUCUCACAACUGUUGGCCCCACUUGUAAGUUGUAAUGUGUAUCCUGACACUUAAACCCAAUGCACUUGUAAGUUUUUUUUUUGAAGGUGCAGCUUGUCUGCUACAUGUGCUCUUGCACGUGUUAGCAUGAUGGACAUGUUGCGUUUCCACA